ACUCAAAUGAAUUGACGGGGGCCCGCACAAGCGGUGGAGCAUGUGGUUCAAUUCGACGCAACGCGAAGAACCUUACCUGGGCUCGAACGGCUCACGAAAAGCUGUAGAAAUAUGGCUUUCCCGCAAGGGACGGGAGUCGAGGUGCUGCAUGGCUGUCGUCAGCUCGUGUCGUGAGAUGUUGGGUUAAGUCCCGCAACGAGCGCAACCCUCGUCCUGUGUUGCUAACCGAAAGGUGCACUCUCAGGAGACUGCCGGCGAUAAGCUGGAGGAAGGUGGGGAUGACGUCAAGUCAUCAUGGCCUUUAUGUCCAGGGCUACACACGUGCUACAAUGGGCGGUACAAUGCGCUGCAAACCCGUGAGGGGGAGCCAAUCGCAAAAAACCGUUCUCAGUUCGGAUCGCAGGCUGCAACUCGCCUGCGUGAAGCUGGAAUCGCUAGUAAUGGCGUAUCAGAAUGACGCCGUGAAUACGUUCCCGGGCCUUGUACACACCGCCCGU
rnacentral:rRNA from 1 species